rnacentral:rRNA from 1 species
UGGCUUAGAAGCAGCCACUCAUUUAAAGAGUGCGUAAUAGCUCACUAGUCGAGUGACUCUGCGCCGAAGAUAAACGGGGCUAAAACUUACUACCGAAGCUUAGGAUACAGUAAUGUAUGGUAGAGGAGCAUUGUAUACGGGCAGAAGCCUAACUGGAAGGGAAGGUGGACUGUAUACAAGAGAGAAUGUUGGCAUGAGUAGCGUAAGGCAGGUGAGAAUCCUGCCCGCCGAAAAUCUAAGGUUUCCUGAGGAAGGUUCGUCCACUCAGGGUUAGUCGGGUCCUAAGCCGAGGGCGAGCGCCGUAGGCGAUGGACAACAGGUUGAUAUUCCUGUACCACCGAAAGUCGUUUGAGCGAAGUGGGGACACAGAAGGAUAAGUUGAGCACGCCGCUGGUAGAGCGUGUCUAAGCGUCAAGGGAGAUGAUAAAGGCAAAUCCGUAUCAUCAAUUCUGAGGCGUUAUGGGGAGGCCGCAAGGCUGGAAGCAACUGAUUUCACACUGUCAAGAAAAGCCGCUAGCGAGACCGUAGGUGCCCGUACCGCAAACCGACACAGGUAGAUGAGGAGAGAAUCCUAAGGUGAGCGAGAGAACUAUUGUUAAGGAACUCGGCAAAAUAACCCCGUAACUUCGGGAGAAGGGGUGCCUACGAAAGUAGGCCGCAGUGAAAAGUCCCAGGCGACUGUUUACCAAAAACACAGGUCUCUGCUAAAGCGAAAGCUGAAGUAUAGGGGCUGACGCCUGCCCGGUGCUGGAAGGUUAAGGGGAAGUGUUAGAGCAAUCGAAGCACAGAACUUAAGCCCCAGUAAACGGCGGCCGUAACUAUAACGGUCCUAAGGUAGCGAAAUUCCUUGUCGGGUAAGUUCCGACCCGCACGAAAGGCGUAACGAUUUGGGCACUGUCUCAACAAUAGACUCGGUGAAAUUGUAAUCCCGGUGAAGAUGCCGGGUACCUGCGACAGGACGGAAAGACCCCAUGGAGCUUUACUGUAGCUUGACGUUGGGUCUUGGUACUACAUGUACAGGAUAGGUGGGAGACUAUGAAGCAUGGACGCCAGUCUGUGUGGAGUCAUCCUUGGGAUACCACCCUUGUAGUACUGGGAUCCUAACCAUAGGCCUUGAAUCAGGUCUUGGAACACCGUCAGGUGGGCAGUUUGACUGGGGCGGUCGCCUCCUAAAAAGUAACGGAGGCGCUCAAAGGUUUCCUCAGCACGGUCGGAAAUCGUGCGAAGAGUGUAAAGGCAAAAGGAAGCUUGAUUGCAAGACAUACAGGUCGAGCAAGGACGAAAGUCGGACUUAGUGAUCCGGUGGUACCGCAUGGAAGGGCCAUCGCUCAACGGAUAAAAGCUACCCUGGGGAUAACAGGCUUAUCUCCCCCAAGAGUCCACAUCGACGGGGAGGUUUGGCACCUCGAUGUCGGCUCAUCACAUCCUGGGGCUGUAGUAGGUCCCAAGGGUUGGGCUGUUCGCCCAUUAAAGUGGUACGCGAGCUGGGUUCAGAACGUCGUGAGACAGUUCGGUCCCUAUCCGUCGCAGGCGUAGGAAAUUUGAGAAGACCUGUCCUUAGUACGAGAGGACCGGGAUGGACGUACCUCUGGUGUACCAGUUGUUCUGCCAAGGGCAUGGCUGGGUAGCUAUGUACGGAAUGGAUAAGCGCUGAAAGCAUCUAAGCGCGAAGCCAACUUCAAGAUAAGAUUUCCCACCGUAAGGGUAAGACCCCAGGAAGACUACCUGGUUGA